AGUGAACGCUGGCGGUAGGCCUAACACAUGCAAGUCGAACGGCAGCACAGUAAGAGCUUGCUCUUACGGGUGGCGAGUGGCGGACGGGUGAGGAAUACAUCGGAAUCUACUUUUUCGUGGGGGAUAACGUAGGGAAACUUACGCUAAUACCGCAUACGACCUACGGGUGAAAGCAGGGGAUCUUCGGACCUUGCGCGAUUGAAUGAGCCGAUGUCGGAUUAGCUAGUUGGCGGGGUAAAGGCCCACCAAGGCGACGAUCCGUAGCUGGUCUGAGAGGAUGAUCGGCCACAAUGGAACUGAGACACGGUCCAGACUCCUACGGGAGGCAGCAGUGGGGAAUAUUGGACAAUGGGCGCAAGCCUGAUCCAGCCAUACCGCGUGGGUGAAGAAGGCCUUCGGGUUGUAAAGCCCUUUUGUUGGGAAAGAAAAGCAGCAGGUUAAUACCCCGCUGUUCUGACGGUACCCAAAGAAUAAGCACCGGCUAACUUCGUG
rnacentral:rRNA from 1 species